AGAUACACAAUUCUAAGCCAAGAUGACAACUCUCAAUCUGCGGGAGCAAUUACAGAACAUUUGAGCAGCUCGGGACCAAGACCCAAGCCUCUUCUUUCCUCCAAGUAACCUGCUACUGGACCACACAACAGCCUUGCUAGGAUUUGUUUUCCAGAGGAAAAGAAGGGAGAAUCUCAAAAUUGUUUGGAAUCAGACCCAAGCUCCACCUAAGUUGAUAUUCUUAGAGAUCUUCUUGGGAAAGAUGAACUUGUUCAUUCCAGUGUCAGUCAUAAAAUUUACACUUCUAAUAAAGGAACGAAGUUGUUAAACAUG